rnacentral:sRNA from 1 species
CCAGGGGCUGACGCCCCUGGCUACAUUCGGUCGGCCUUUCAGGCCU